rnacentral:rRNA from 1 species
AUUGAACGCUGGCGGCAGGCCUAACACAUGCAAGUCGAGCGAGCGGCGGACGGGUGAGUAAUGUCUGGGAAACUGCCUGAUGGAGGGGGAUAACUACUGGAAACGGUAGCUAAUACCGCAUACCAUCAGAUGUGCCCAGAUGGGCGUAGCUAGUAGGUGGGGUAACGGCUAACCUAGGCAACGAUCCCUAGCUGGUCUGGUAGGAUGACCAGCCACACUGGAACUGAGACACGGUCCAGACUCCUACGGGAGGCAGCAGUGGGGAAUAUUGCACAAUGGGCGCAAGCCUGAUGCAGCCAUGCCGCGUGUGUGAAGAAGGCCUUCGGUUUGUAAAGCACUUUCAGCGGGGAGGCGUUACCCGCAGAAGAAGCACCGGCUAACUCCGUGCCAGCAGCCGCGGUAAUAC